rnacentral:rRNA from 1 species
GACGAACGCUGGCGGCGUGCUUAACACAUGCAAGUCGAACGGAAAGGCCCUGCUUUUGUGGGGUGCUCGAGUGGCGAACGGGUGAGUAACACGUGAGUAACCUGCCCUUGACUUUGGGAUAACUUCAGGAAACUGGGGCUAUACCGGAUAGGAGCUCCUGCUGCAUGGUGGGGGUUGGAAAGUUUCGGCGGUUGGGGAUGGACUCGCGGCUUAUCAGCUUGUUGGUGGGGUAGUGGCUUACCAAGGCUUUGACGGGUAGCCGGCCUGAGAGGGUGACCGGCCACAUUGGGACUGAGAUACGGCCCAGACUCCUACGGGAGGCAGCAGUGGGGAAUAUUGCACAAUGGGCGGAGGCCUGAUGCAGCAACGCCGCGUGCGGGAUGACGGCCUUCGGGUUGUAAACCGCUUUCGCCUGUGACGAAGCGUGAGUGACGGUAAUGGGUAAAGAAGCACCGGCUAACUACGU